rnacentral:rRNA from 1 species
UACGUAGGGGGGCUAGCGUUGUCCGGAAUCAUUGGGCGUAAAGAGCGUGUAGGCGGCCCGGUAAGUCCGCUGUAAAAGUCAAAGGCUCAACCUUUGAAUGUCAGUGGAUACUGCCGGGCUAGAGUCCGGAAGAGGCGAGUGGAACUCCUGGUGUAGCGGUGGAAUGCGCAGAUAUCAGGAGGAACACCAAUAGCGAAGGCAGCUCGCUGGGACGGUACUGACGCUGAGGUGCGAAAGCGUGGGGAGCAAACAGG